CCUACGGGUGGCUGCAGUGAGGAAUAUUGGUCAAUGGACGAGAGUCUGAACCCGCCAAGUAGCGUGAAGGAUGACUGCCCUAUGGGUUGUCAACUUCUUUUAUAUGGGAAUAAAACAGGGUAUGCAUACCCUCUUGUAUGUAACAUAUGAAUAAGGAUCGGCUAACUCCGUGCCAGCAGCCGCGGUAAUACGGAAGAUCCGAGCGUUAGCCGGAUUUAUUGGGUUUAAAGGGAGCGUAGGUGGAUUGUUAAGUCAGGUGUGAAAGUUUGCGGCUCAACCGUAAAAGUGCAGUUGAAACUGGUAGUCUUGAGUACAGUAGAGGUGGGCGGAAGUCGUGGUGUAGCGGUGAAAUGCUUAGAUAUCACGCAGAACUCCGAUUGCGAAGGCAGCUCACUGGACGGCAACUGACACUGAUGCUCGAAAGUGUGGGUAUCAAACAGGAUUAGAUACCCCUGUAGUC
rnacentral:rRNA from 1 species